rnacentral:rRNA from 1 species
CCUACGGGUGGCAGCAGUGAGGAAUAUUGGUCAAUGGGCGCAAGCCUGAACCAGCCAAGUCGCGUGAGGGAUGACGGUCCUAUGGAUUGUAAACCUCUUUUGUCGGGGAGCAAGGCCCGCCACGUGUGGCUGGAAGGAGAGUACCCGAAGAAAAAGCAUCGGCUAACUCCGUGCCAGCAGCCGCGGUAAUACGGGGGAUGCGAGCGUUAUCCGGAUUUAUUGGGUUUAAAGGGUGCGCAGGCGGAAGAUCAAGUCAGCGGUAAAAUUGAGGGGCUCAACCUCUUCGAGCCGUUGAAACUGGUUUUCUUGAGUGAGUGAGAGGUAUGCGGAAUGCGUGGUGUAGCGGUGAAAUGCAUAGAUAUCACGCAGAACUCCGAUUGCGAAGGCAGCAUACCGGCGCUCAACUGACGCUGAUGCACGAAAGCGUGGGUAUCGAACAGGAUUAGAUACCCCAGUAGUC